rnacentral:rRNA from 1 species
UACGUAGGGGGCAAGCGUUAUCCGGAUUUACUGGGUGUAAAGGGAGCGCAGACGGCAGUGCAAGUCUGGAGUGAAAGGCGGGGGCCCAACCCCCGGACUGCUCUGGAAACUAUGUUACUAGAGUGCAGGAGAGGUAAGCGGAAUUCCUAGUGUAGCGGUGAAAUGCGUAGAUAUUAGGAGGAACACCAGUGGCGAAGGCGGCUUACUGGACUGUAACUGACGUUGAGGCUCGAAAGCGUGGGGAGCAAACAGG